rnacentral:tRNA from 1 species
UGGCUCAGUUGGUAGAGCAUGGCACUUGCAAGGCCAGGGUUGUGGGUUUGAUCAUUCCCAC